AACGAACGCUGGCGGCAUGCCUAACACAUGCAAGUCGAACGAUGCCUUCGGGCAUAGUGGCGCACGGGUGCGUAACGCGUGGGAAGCUGCCUUUCGGUUCGGAAUAACUCAGGGAAACUUGAGCUAAUACCGGAGAACGUCGCAAGACCAAAGAUUUAUCACCGAAAGAUGAGCCCGCGUAGGAUUAGCUAGUUGGUGAGGUAAAGGCUCACCAAGGCGACGAUCCUUAGCUGGUCUGAGAGGAUGAUCAGCCACACUGGGACUGAGACACGGCCCAGACUCCUACGGGAGGCAGCAGUGGGGAAUAUUGGACAAUGGGCGAAAGCCUGAUCCAGCAAUGCCGCGUGAGUGAUGAAGGCCUUAGGGUUGUAAAGCUCUUUUACCCGGGAAGAUAAUGACGGUACCGGGAGAAUAAGCCCCGGCUAACUCCGUG
rnacentral:rRNA from 1 species